UACGGGGGGGGCAAGCGUUGUUCGGAAUUACUGGGCGUAAAGGGCUCGUAGGUGGCCAACUAAGUCGGACGUGAAAUCCCUCGGCUUAACUGGGGAACUGCGUCUGAUACUGGAUGGCUUGAGUUUGGGAGAGGGAUGCGGAAUUCCAGGUGUAGCGGUGAAAUGCGUAGAUAUCUGGAGGAACACCGGUGGCGAAGGCGGCAUCCUGGACCAACACUGACACUGAGGAGCGAAAGCGUGGGGAGCGAACAGG
rnacentral:rRNA from 1 species